rnacentral:rRNA from 1 species
UACGUAGGAUGCAAGCGUUGUCCGGAUUUACUGGGCGUAAAGCGCGCGCAGGCGGCACAUUAAGUCAGGUGUGAAAUAUCCCGGCUCAACCGGGAGGGUGCACUUUAGACUGAUGAGCUUGAGGUCGGUAGAGGGGGGUGGAAUUGCUGGUGUAGCGGUGAAAUGCGUAGAGAUCAGCAGGAACACCCGUGGCGAAGGCGGCCCCCUGGGCCGUACCUGACGCUGAGGCGCGAAGGCUAGGGGAACGAACGGG